GCGGAGGUGUCGGAACUGGCAGACGAGCAAGACUAAGGAUCUUGUGUUAGCAAUAACGUGUGGGUUCAAGUCCCAUCCUCCGCA
rnacentral:tRNA from 1 species